UACGUAGGGUGCGAGCGUUGUCCGGAAUUAUUGGGCGUAAAGGGCUCGUAGGCGGUUUGUCGCGUCGGGAGUGAAAACACCGGGCUUAACUCGGUGCUUGCUUUCGAUACGGGCAGACUAGAGGUAUGCAGGGGGAGAACGGAAUUCCUGGUGUAGCGGUGAAAUGCGCAGAUAUCAGGAGGAACACCGGUGGCGAAGGCGGUUCUCUGGGCAUUACCUGACGCUGAGGAGCGAAAAGUGUGGGGGAGCGAAACAGGG
rnacentral:rRNA from 1 species